rnacentral:lncRNA from 1 species
AUUAACUGGAUCACAAAUAAUUCAAGCCUCUGAAACGAGAUACAAGGGCUCAUAUAUAUCAGUGUUGGAAGAGGCAAAAUUUUCAGCUCAGAUCGAUGAACAUCCAUGCAUGUGGAACUUUCAGAAGGCCAAAUAAUUUUCUUUGCAUUGUUUCUGAAUUUGUGAUGGAAAAGACGCUACAUAUCUAGAAGUCCACACAUUGCGAGUAAGUUGCUGCGGCAUAAAUCUUACUGAAUCUAAUGCAAAUCCUAGGUUGAGAUUGAGAACUCUAACAAUCAUUUCAUCAGCGACAGCCUUGAGCAUUCUUGGACAAAUCUAAGAACCGACCACCCACGUGAGUUGAAACAAGACGUUUGUUGGCAUGUCACCAUUGUCAUCAACCAAUGUUCAUAUCCACCCUCAUUUCCUUCCAUCUCUCUAAGAUAAAACAAUUAAAAAAAGAAAAAAAAAGAAAAAGAACCUGUUCUGUUCAUGAGACAACGUUGCGAAUGCCCCUCGGGCUCUCAGCUGGCCUGGUGGUGACCCUGCUCCCAACCACCAUCACUUCCCUUUCCUUUUCCCCCCACGUGAGCCUCACGUGCAAUAUGCCCUUAAUGAUAGUUUCUAAUCCCUUAAUGAUGGUGCCCCCAAAGUGGCGGUACGACUGCCAAUUAGACUAUAGGAGCCUCACUCGUGG